rnacentral:rRNA from 1 species
GACGAACGCUGGCGGCGUGCUUAACACAUGCAAGUCGAACGGAAAGGCCCUGCUUUUGUGGGGUGCUCGAGUGGCGAACGGGUGAGUAACACGUGAGUAACCUGCCCUUGACUUUGGGAUAACUUCAGGAAACUGGGGCUAAUACCGGAUAGGAGCUCCUGCUGCAUGGUGGGGGUUGGAAAGUUUCGGCGGUUGGGGAUGGACUCGCGGCUUAUCAGCUUGUUGGUGGGGUAGUGGCUUACCAAGGCUUUGACGGGUAGCCGGCCUGAGAGGGUGACCGGCCACAUUGGGACUGAGAUACGGCCCAGACUCCUCCGGGAGGCAGCAGUGGGGAAUAUUGCACAAUGGGCGGAAGCCUGAUGCAGCAACGCCGCGUGCGGGAUGACGGCCUUCGGGUUGUAAACCGCUUUCGCCUGUGACGAAGCGUGAGUGGCGGUAAUGGGUAAAGAAGCACCGGGUAACUACGUG